rnacentral:misc_RNA from 1 species
AACGCACCUUGCGCCCCUUGGUAUUCCGAGGGGCAUGCCUGUUUGAGUGUCUUGAAAUCAUCAAGCCCCUCGGCGCUCGUCGCCGGAGGGCUUGGACUUGGGGGUCUUGCUGACGCUUCGGCGCCGGCUCCCCUUAAAUGAAUCGGUCGGGCUUAUCGUGUGCCGGUCCACGGGCGUUGUAUCACCCUCGUCCUGGGAUGGCGCUCGACUCGAAGGCCCCUCCUCGACCUGCCUAUGGAGCGGCGGUCAAAGGCGCUUUGCCACUUUGUGAUCUGACCUCAAAUCAGGUAGGACUACCCGCUGAACUUAA